rnacentral:rRNA from 1 species
CCCUUAGAUGUCCGGGGCCGCACGCGCGCUACACUGAAGGAAUCAGCGUGGCUUUCUCCCUGACCCGAAAGGGUUGGGAAACCCGUUGAAUCUCCUUCGUGAUAGGGAUUGGGGCUUGAAAUUGUUCCCCAUGAACGAGGAAUUCCCAGUAAGCGCGAGUCAUAAGCUCGCGUUGAUUACGUCCCUGCCCUUUGUACACACCGCCCGUCGCUACUGCCGAUUGAACGGUUUAGUGAGGGCCUCGGAUUGGUCUCGGCCCGCUCUUUACCGGGCGGCGCCGUUGGUCGAGAAGACGCUCGAACUUGAUCGUUUAGAGGAAGUAAAAGUCGUAACA